rnacentral:rRNA from 1 species
UACGAAGGGGGCUAGCGUUGCUCGGAAUCACUGGGCGUAAAGCGCACGUAGGCGGCUUUUUAAGUCAGGGGUGAAAUCCCGGGGCUCAACCCCGGAACUGCCUUUGAUACUGGGUAUCUCGAGUCCGAGAGAGGUGAGUGGAAUUCCGAGUGUAGAGGUGAAAUUCGUAGAUAUUCGGAGGAACACCAGUGGCGAAGGCGGCUCACUGGCUCGGUACUGACGCUGAGGUGCGAAAGCGUGGGGAGCAAACAGG